GCGACGUGCUUACACUGCAAGUCGUACGGAGAUUAUGAGGAAGCUUGCUAAUUCUAAAAUUAUUGGCGCACGGGUGAGUAACGCGUGGAUAACCUGCCUGGUAGACCGGGAUAACAGCUGGAAACGGCUGCUAAUACCGGAUACGCUUAAGGGAACGCAUGUUCUUUUAAGGAAAGCAAUCGUGCUAUCAGAUGGAUCCGCGUCCCAUUAGCUAGUUGGUGGUGUAAGGGACCACCAAGGCGACCAUUGGUAGCCGGCCUGAGAGGGCGACCGGCCACACUGGGACUGAGACACGGUCCAGACUCCUACGGGAGGCGGCAUUGGGGAAUCUUCCACGAUGGGCGAAAGCCUGACAGAUCAACGCCUCGUGAGGGAAGAAGACCUUCUGGUUGUAAACCUCUGUCAUCAAGGAAGAACAGAUGACGGUACUUGGAGAGGAAGCCCCGGCUAACUACGUGCCAGCUGCCGCGGUAAAACGUAAGGGGCGAUCGUUGUCCGGAAUUACUGGGCGUAUAGGGCGCGUAGGUGGUGCAUUAGUUUAUAUGUGAAUGAUCGGGGCUCAACCCCGAGAUUGGCUCUGAUACUGCUGGACUUGACUGCAUGAAACGGGAGCGGAAUUCCCAGUGUAGCGGUGAAAUGCGUACAUUUGUUAGGAACAUCAGUGGCUAAUGCCGCUCUCUAGAGUGCACUGACACUGAAGCGCGCUAGCGUGGUGAACUAACAGGAUUACAUACCCUGGUAGUCCACGCCGUGAACGAUGAGUGCUAUGUGUUGCUGGUAUCUACCCCCGCUGUGCCGCAUUUAAGACAAUAAGCAUUCCGACAGGGGAGUACGGUCGCAGUACUGAUACUCAUAUGUAUUCACUUGAGCCCUCACUGGCGAUUGAGUAUGUGCUUUAAUUCAACGCAACGCGCAGAAUCUUACGACGUCUUGACGUCUUAUGCAAGACUUAUCAAUUCUGACCUUACGCAUCAGGGUUACACACAUACAGGUGGUGCAUGCUUGACAUCACCUCCUGUCUAGAUAUGUCGCGUUCAGUCCGGCACAAUCGCACCGCCUUCUUAUCUGCUACGACUAAGGUCGGACUCGAAAUUGACUGCAUUAACAAACGGAUGAUGUCGUGAUGACGUCUAUCCAUCAUGCUUUAUGUCUUGGGUAAAA
rnacentral:rRNA from 1 species